UUCUCUCCUCCUCUUUAAAAAUAUUUCUCCAUAUUAUUAAGGCUUUUUGAGGUUUUGGAAUUUCAAUAAAGAAUCACGUUUUCAGCAAUUUUGUUUUCCACGUUCAUCUUCAAAAGGUAGAAAUUAGUAUGCUGGACGGCGAUGGAUGGAUGCAUAUUGGACCAAUGGAUCUCCAUCAUGAAGUACUUUAAUUAUUAGAAACACUAGAAUAUUUAUUAACAUUUGAUUAUUAUUAUUUUUAAAUUUAGACUCAAUUGUGAGUCACGUCAUAACUUUCAAUUAGUCCUAUUUUUAUUAUUUGUUAGAACUACUUUUAUUAAUGUUUGAUAAAAGAUAUGAUUCCAAAUUGUUCCGCAUAUGUUAUUUAAUUUAAUUUACCUUUUGUUAA